rnacentral:sRNA from 1 species
UCAUGGCCGACAAUUCCGAGCCCUUGA